GGGCCAGUAGCUCAGUGGUAGAGCGCUUCAAUGGCAUUGAAGAGGCCAGGGGUUCAAUCCCCCUCUGGUCCA
rnacentral:tRNA from 1 species